CCAUGCAAGUCGAGCGGCAGCACAGAGGAACUUGUUCCUUGGGUGGCGAGCGGCGGACGGGUGAGUAAUGCCUGGGAAAUUGCCCGGUAGAGGGGGAUAACCAUUGGAAACGAUGGCUAAUACCGCAUAACCUCGCAAGAGCAAAGCAGGGGACCUUCGGGCCUUGCGCUACCGGAUAUGCCCAGGUGGGAUUAGCUAGUUGGUGAGGUAAGGGCUCACCAAGGCGACGAUCCCUAGCUGGUCUGAGAGGAUGAUCAGCCACACUGGAACUGAGACACGGUCCAGACUCCUACGGGAGGCAGCAGUGGGGAAUAUUGCACAAUGGGCGCAAGCCUGAUGCAGCCAUGCCGCGUGUAUGAAGAAGGCCUUCGGGUUGUAAAGUACUUUCAGUAGGGAGGAACC
rnacentral:rRNA from 1 species